AUUGAACGCUGGCGGCAGGCCUAACACAUGCAAGUCGAACGAGUGGCGGACGGGCGAGUAAUGUCUGGGAAUCUGCCUGAUGGAGGGGGAUAACUACCGGAAACGGUAGCUAAUACCGCAUACCAUCGGAUGUGCCCAGAUGGGAUUAGCUAGUAGGUGGGGUAAAGGCUCUCCUGGGCUACGAUCCCUAGCUGGUCUGAGAGGAUGACCAGGCACGCUGGAACUGAUACCAGGUCCAACCUCCCACGAGCGGCAGCAGGGGUGAAGAUUGCAGAAAGGGGGCGAGCCUGAUGGAGCCGAGCCGCGUGUCUGGAGAAGGCCUUCGGGUUGUAAAGUACUUUCAGCGGGGAAGCGUUAACCGCAGAAGAAACACCGACUAACUCGUGGCCAGCAGCCGCGGUAAUUC
rnacentral:rRNA from 1 species